rnacentral:tRNA from 1 species
UCCCUUGUAGCUCAGUUGGUAAAGAAUCUGCCUGCAAUGCAGGAAACCCAAGUUCGAUUCCUGGGUUGGGAA